rnacentral:tRNA from 2 species
UCCCGGUUGACGCAAUUGGUUAGCGUGUCAGACUUUUAAUCUGAAAGUUACGAGUUCGAGUCUCGUACCGGGAG